rnacentral:rRNA from 1 species
AGGACGAGCAAAGUGUAGUGGCGGACGGGUGAGUAACACGUGGGCAACCUGCCGUCAUAGAGAGGAAUAGCCUUCCGAAAGGGAGAUUAAUACCUCAUAACAUUGCAGUUUCGCAUGAAACAGCAAUUAAAGGAGCAAUCCGCUAUGAGAUGGGCCCGCGGCGCAUUAGCUAGUUGGUGAGGUAACGGCUCACCAAGGCGACGAUGCGUAGCCGACCUGAGAGGGUGAUCGGCCACAUUGGGACUGAGACACGGCCCAGACUCCUACGGGAGGCAGCAGUGGGGAAUAUUGCACAAUGGGGGAAACCCUGAUAGCAGCAACGCCGCGUGAGUAAUGACGGCCUUCGGGUUGUAAAGCUCUGUCUUCAGGGACGAUAAUGACGGUACCUGAGGAGGAAGCCACGGCUAACUACGUGCCAGCCGCCGC